rnacentral:rRNA from 1 species
GACGAACGCUGGCGGCGUGCUUAACACAUGCAAGUCGAACGGAAAGGCCCUGCUUGCAGGGUACUCGAGUGGCGAACGGGUGAGUAACACGUGGGUGAUCUGCCCUGCACUUCGGGAUAAGCCUGGGAAACUGUGUCUAAUACCGGAUAGGAGCCAUUCUUAGUGUGAUGGUUGGAUAGUUUUUUCGGUGUAGGAUGAGCUCGCGGCCUAUCAGCUUGUUGGUGGGGUAAUGGCCUACCAAGGCGGCGACGGGUAGCCGGCCUGAGAGGGUGGACGGCCACAUUGGGACUGAGAUACGGCCCAGACUCCUACGGGAGGCAGCAGUGGGGAAUAUUGCACAAUGGGCGGAAGCCUGAUGCAGCGACGCCGCGUGGGGGAUGACGGCCUUCGGGUUGUAAACUCCUUUCGCUAGGGACGAAGCGUUUGUGACGGUACCUAGAAAAGAAGCACCGGCUAACUACGUG